GUAUGCUAUUCUAAAUAUUUAUAUGAACAUAGCUUUCAAAGACCUACAGUAGAAACCACAUGGAAACAUAUGAAGAGACAACUAAAAUAGUAUACAGUAUAGUAAAUGUGUUAAAUUUGGAAAUAUGCACAUAGUAGUUGUAUAGAAAAGCUCAAUCCUGUCCUUUAUGUGUCUGAAAACUACACAAUCUGUAGACAAAUACGCAGCAACAUCAGUUUUACUCAUAAAAUAUCAAUUAGAUACCCAUAUUGUCAUAGUUAUUUGUUCUGCAGUGAAUGAUGUUUUGCUUGGGAACCAAAAUAAAAAAUCUCUAUGAAGCAACACAAGAAGAAUAUUGAGGAAUUUGGCCCAAAUCUCUGCCUAGAGACAAAUCCCUUUUGAAAAUAUUCAUACUUUGUAACCAUUAUACAACAAGUUCAUCUCUGCUAUUAUUCCACUACCUCUGCUAGAGCUCUGCUACCACAAACUUGAUCCAAAUUGGAUCCUUUUGGUGACUUUUACAGUGAAAAUUAAUCUUACUCAUCAGUUCAAGUUUUGCUUUCAGCUUGCCAGUGUAAAACAUGGAAGCAACUCUAUUGAUGGGAUAUGUACUGGAGAGGCAACUUCCCACCAAAGCCUGCAGCAGACCAGUGCCUGGUCCUGUCCUUCAACUCUGCUGCAGGUCUCCAGGACAGCGUGGGACAUGGAAGUGCAUGGCCUACUGCAGUCAAAGCAAAUGUAUCUCAAAAGUAAAUAGACCAAAGUAUUAGCUGAGCAUACACAUAUGUAUGAAUUAAAUUUACCUUAGGUACAUAUAUGACAGAUUCAUUCACAAAUUCCAGGCUAGUAGAGAGUUCAAAGGUCCUGAUAAAUGUCUGCUUUUGCCCUUUUAAAGAUUAGAAGCAAAGCAAAACAAAACAAAACAAACAAACAAAAAACAACCAACCAAAACAAUGACGGAAAAUUCCAUAAUUUAACAUGCUGGAUAAGAAUGUGGAACUCUGUUGCCUUUCUUGACUUAUCAAUCUCAAGGCUACCCUACAUGCUAUCUUACAGGUCUAAUCUUCAGAAGAAGUUGAUUUUGAAGCUCCUAAGAGAUGAGCAUAGCAAUUUGUGUGCUCUGAUUGCUACCCAUCUUUGAAAAUUUAAUCUACAUACAGAUUUUCAAAAACACUAAACAUCCACCUGUCCUCCUGAAGUCAAGGCUAGCUAUUACAGCCCUUUUUGAGAUCAGAGUUUACAUUUUUCACCUAACAUACAUGUUCUGAAUGCAUAUGAUGCUCUUAAAAUAGUUCUAAACCUCAAAGAACAUAUAUUAAAAGGAAAACAAAUUAUAAAGUGCUUCAAAACUACAGUAAAACUGUGUGAUUUUCCUAUUGGUGAUUAAACAAAGAGAUGUAAUGUACAUUCUUUGUGUCAAAUAAUACUGGGUCUAUGCAUUUCUUCAAUCAUUUGGAUAAGUUCUUAGUAUGACUCAUGUAAGGCAGCACAUGUUCUAUAUUUUACCUGUCAUCACAUUUAACCCCAAUGGGGAAGUGAUAUUGUUGCUAAUAAAUUACAGAGGACAUUUUAAGGCACUUUCAACAAUUUUCAGAUUUUACUUUCCAUGUUAAAAACUUAGGAGUUAAUGCUGUUAGAUAGGUUUCCAUAUCUUUUCUACACUAAUGGGAAGCAACGGACUGUAACACAGCAUUUUUUUUUAUUUUAUUUUUACUUUUUUUUCAGUUCAAGAAAGGUUUUUACUUGCUAAGAUGAGGAAAUGGCUCUCUUCAUUUGGCUCACAGAAGUUGAUGUCAAACGGUUUGGCUUUUACAUGAAUGGUGCUGAGGAGAAACUGCUCCACAGUAUGACCACCCCUUUGCAUGUCAGGUCGUAGAAUCAUAGAAUCAAUCAUAGACCUUGUGACAAGGGAUUGUUUCUUAAGAAAGAAAAAAAAAAAAAAGAAAAAGAAAAAAGGCCCUGAAAAUUGAGUGAGAAAAUUAAUUGGUGUGCAUGAACACAAUAGUUCUGGCUGGCCUGGUUUUCAUUCCAGUGAGGUGGGUAAAUUUGUCAAGGCAGAUCAUAGCAAACGAGGCAAGAACAACUAGGAACCAGCUAUACAGGAAGUCUUCCAUAUAACAGCAGUAGCUACCCACCAACAUUUUUAUAUUAGCGUAAUAGAUAAGAAGACUGAGGAAAUUAUACCCCCAAAUAAGAAAAAAAUAUUUAAGUUUGAGCACCCCAAAAAUUUGUUUUGCUUUGCACAAGAGCUAACUAAACUCAUGGCUUCACUGCUCAAAGCAGCACCUCUUGAUGAAAAGCCUGUUUUCUAUGUUUCUACAACAUGGUUUAAAUUUUGGUUCAAUGUGUUUUCUUUUUGUUAUUUGAAAAGCUGCAACUCUCAGCAAUGACACCUCUAGUUUGGCACCCUGAAACACAGGUUUUGAAAAAAAUUUUUUUUUUUUUUUUUUGAAUGAGGUAUUGGUGACCAUGAGCAUCCAGAUGCCUUGCUGAUUUAUAUCAAAACCAUUCUACUCAGUUUUAUUGUUGGCUACACUUGGAUUUCUCAAGUAUCAGAAAUACCUUUUGUGCAUUUUGGAUUUUCCAGUGGAUAAUGAAAACAAAAUGAAUGCCAUCACCAAAACUUCUGAUUGCUGUGAAGCUUUUUUUUUUUUUUUUUUUUUUCACUGAUGUCUGUAAAACAUGUUGAGUACAGGCUAUAGAAGUAUGAACAUUUGUUGCCAUUAUUUAAGAAAUGAAUGCAAGACACUAAAGAAAGCAUGGAGUCUCCGUCAAUAGUAAAGAGAGUUAUAAUAGAUAUAUGCACUGAACAUAUGUCAUGAACACCACUUCUUUCAUAAUGCCAGAAACGAAAUCAGCAGUGUUUGAAAUGAGGCUCUGACUGCACUGAAAUUUCUUGAAGUUCUGCCUUUGACAUCACUAUAGCUCAAAUUUCAUUGUAUAUGCUUUAUAUAUACAUCAGAAAACAUAAGUAAACUGUUGUUCAUAAUUUGAAACAUAAUCAUUAUGUUAACAAUUUCUAAUCAAGUUUGUCAGUAACUUGGUAAACUUCGUUCCAAGCAAAAAGUCCUUGAAAUAUUUAUUGUAAUUGCAUUUCACCUGUGUUAACAACCUAUGUGUUCCUGCUCCAUUGCAUGUUUUGUUUAAUCUAUAUUAUUCAGUUGUGAUGAAUAGUGAAGGACAAAUGUUUUAAUUUUAUUUUAUUUUUUAUCUGUUAUAUGAAAUUAAAAUAACUAUCAAAAACCUUCAUUACUUGCUUAGAGAUAGGAAUGCAACACAACUUUUGGAUUUAAGGAUUGGGCAUACUAUUUUUUUAUGUAUACAAAAGAAAUCCCAGAGGAAGAUGUUAACAGUCAAUUUGUGUUUGUAAUGAACAUCUUUAAUACACAAUCAUUUUGCAAAAAAGCACAAUAUAAAAGAAUCACAGAUAUCUGAAUUUCAUCAUUUGUUAGCAAAGAUAACACAAGCAGAAAAACAUAAGAAAUUUAAAAAUUCUAGAAAGAAGAGAGAGAAUUAAUGGGGAGGAACACUCCACCACUCAAGUGGUUCGUCUCAUUUUUAAAAAUUUAUCUCAUCACCUGCACAGUAAGCUUUUUUUGUCAUCAAGUUGCAGCAUAGAAACACAAAAGUACUUGGGCUUGGUGACUGGCAUACAGUAUUAAUAGGCACCAUCAUCAGAAGAUGCCAGAAGGAUGACAAAUACCCCUAUCAGCCAAGACAAGCAUGCUCCUUUGAGUUCAGAAGAAAAGAGCUCCUAGCUUUCUGAUCAUCUCUGUGACAUCCAGAUAGGCAUUUCAUGUAUGUUACUACACAUGAAUCAAUGCACUAUUACCAUACCUUCAAUACGGAUCUACUUGUUUGUUCCACCACAGAAUUAUAGGAACUUUCUCUUAAGCAGUUUGACAGUUUGACAUUGCUUUUUUUUUUUUUUUUUUUUUUUUUUGUCCUUUAGCAUGAGCUAAAUUAGCCAGCUAAAAAUAUUUUUCUUAAUUAAACCAAAAACCGGGGAAGUAGAAGAAAAGUUACAAACAGUUCUCUUUGAACUCAGAUGUCUCUAUGUCUCUAGUUCAGUGGGAACAGUUUGCAUAAUCUUUUCUAUAUCAACAACAUUCCACAUGCAUAUUCUCUCUAUCUUCUUCACACACACACAAACACACACACACAAAAAAAAAAAAAAAAGGAACUGCAGAAGCAACUGUUUCCAGAUAAACAGGACAACACCAAUACAGUGCAUCCCUUUUCUAACAUUUUAGCUGUGCCUGGACAUACAUAUUACACUUAGGCUUCUCCUUCAGACCCCAAGAUAAUACUGGAACUUGAUUCUACUUUCACUUAAGUCUGUGGUAAACCAGUCACUUUGUAGCAGUCUGCUGAUACUCUAUCAGAAGGAAAAUGUUUUCCAGUGACAUUUCCUUCAGUUUAUGAAAAAACUCUUUUUUUUUUUUUUUAAAUAAAAAGAAGAUUAAUUUAUAUAUAAAUACAUAGAUAAAAACAAGUCAGAUGACAUUACUCGGUCAAGAAUUCUAACCUUGUGUCUGAAAACUACAAAAUUUUGAUUUGGAUAUAUUGCCUUCUAACAUAUUGCUACCUUUACCUGAGGUUUCAAGCCUUCCAAUUAAAAGGUUUCUAACUAGACUGCCUCUGCUAUGAAGCAAUUCUAUCUCAAAGAAAUGCCCAAAUAAUCUGCUGAAAACUUCAACAAAAAGGAUCUUACUAUUUUAAACAUAAAAUAAACCAAUACAUUUCCUGUCUGGCUUCAGCAUAAGAAACCUUAAAAACUCAAAUGGCCCCUGAAAAUACGGGCCACAUAGAAACCAAAACUAGGUUUAAAUUCAAAUAGUCUUCCACAUCAGUUUCAGGCUUUCCUUUUCAACAGAAAUCUUGCUUCUUUUUUGGUGUUUGGGGGGGCUGGAAAGAGCAAUACAGAAAAAAUCUUACAGCCAAAGUUGCAGUUGUAUUCUUUUUGAUAUGAACAAAAAUGGAAAUGCUCAAAAUAUCAUUAUUAAAUUGUUCUCAUGGCAUGUGCAUCCCACUUUCAGGCCUGGGUAGUGCUAAGAGAAGACUGUGCACAUAAUAAAGCCUGUACACACAAUCCUGUCCUCAAAUGAGCAACAAAAAAAAUGUUUUUGAAGUUUGUCUGCUUCUCAUGGACUGGGCUUGAGCCUUCUUUCAGCUGCUGCAGAUUGACAUUGGCAUCGUUCCACUGAUACCAUUGACACUAUUUCUGAUUUACACUGUUGUUCCAGGUCUUUCUAAAAGUGUGUUUUGUUUUGUUUUGUUUUUUUGUGUGUGUGUUACAAAAUGUCACUGCAUGUGGCAUUAGCUGGUAUCUUUCUAGGCAUGUGAAGGGAAGACGUGGCUAGGAAUAGAGACUGUACUAUCAUCUCUGUCCUUGAUGUGGUACCCCACAAAUUUAUGCUGACACAAUGCAGGGAUUGUAGAGCAUAUUGUGAAGCAGUACACCAUCUGUUUUCUGCCUCUGCUCUUCUAUAAAUAACAGAUUUCAGUCUCCAUGGGUGCCAGGCUAGCAUUUUGCAACAUACCCCUCGAGCCCUUCAAAAUUCCUCCUAGCCCUCUGGGAAUUUCCUGUUCUGCCAAGAAAUUUUGUCUGGACAGAACUGAGGUCUGUCCCUUACCGUUAAGAAAUCCCUUUACAAAAAGGCAGAGAUGUGUUGAAGUACUUGGCUCCAGAGAGCCUGCGCCAAGAAGUGGACCCAGAACUUCUGCUGCCCCUGGAAGCUCUGUAGGGAGGAAGGGGCAAGGAAUCAGCUUCAGCUGGGUGGACCUGAGGUUGGGAAAUACCCUUUCCUGGACAGGAAUCAAGCUCACACUUUACCACUGAGCAGCAUUAGGCCAAGCUACUCAGGAACUCAUUAACAUCACACUCCAGAGGAAAGGACAUGAAUCCAGGCCAGUUCUCAACAUUUAUGUCUUUCAAGAACACAAGUAUCUGGCUAAAUUAUAUGUAACAAGAAUAUAACUUUUAUAAGGUGGCUGGUACAGUCCUAUUUCCAUAGAGCUUUUCAGAAUUCUCAUCCUCUCUGUAUUAUUCCUGAAUGGACUCCAUGAAUAUUCUCAACGUACAUCCAACUGAGCUUGACUCAUUGGCCAGAGCUUGACUUUAGGAGGAGCAGGAGCAGACAUCAUUAAUGGUAUUGCAGCAGUCCAGUCUUCUGUCAUUUAGGAUCCCUUUCCUGGAACUUGUUCUGGAUGGGCAAACUCCUGAACAUUUGAAUGGGAACAUGAGUAACACAACGCAGAAGUGAGAUGGAAAGCUCCAAAACAAAGCAGUCACCGUGUUAAUAAAAUGUGAAGGAAAUAGAACAUCAGUGUAGUUAACAGUUUUCUAUUAAAUUCUUUCUUAUGAUUUUCCCAUUCUCUUUGCUUCCUCUCCACCUUUAAUGUUUAAAUUUCUUUUCCACAGCCUUUCUCAAUUCAUCCUUUUACCAUAUCACUCACCUUUCACUCCAUCAGAAUUGGGUCCCACCAAAUUCAUUACUGUUCAAAAGUUCAGAACCUCAGAACACAAGUGGAACUGUUUGUUCUCACCUGGGGUCAUAAUUGUGAAGACAGGAAGCUGAAUUUGAGACAUACUGAUGGAAAACAAAUCUUCAAAUUGAGAAGCCCCUGCUCUAGAGACUUUUUGUAUGCUCAAAGGGAGGAUUUGUUUGGGGAAUUUGUUUGUGUAUUAGGAGAGAGCAGAAUAGUAACAAGGAUGAGUAACAGCAUUAGAAGAACAGAGAAAAGUGGUUUCAGUGUUCUUUUUAAGGUGUGACACGCCUGCAGGAAGCCAGGCAAUCCAUUCUGCUUAUGCACUAUUAUGCCUUAAUGAAAACCGUGUAUUCUAUGAUUCUAUGACUGAAUAGUCAUCUGUCCACCAGUAUCCCUCACUGUCUCACUCAUUCAAGUUCUCAACAUCCUAACAAUGUUAGUCCAACACGAUUCUUGUUGAUUCAUGAAAAAAUGACAAACAGUGACUAUCAUGGUAUUACCAAAAUUGACAGUGAAUCAUUCACAGAGAGCAUCUCCUCUCCCUACCUUCCUCUAAGUACACCAUUGAUUGAUUGACAUGUUCAAGAUCAACCUUGGCUACAUCAUUCCUUAACAUCCAGUAUCAUAGGUUUUAUCCCCAGUACAUCUUUAGAGAAUUCAGACAAAGGGAAAACAGCUAACCUAGCAAAAGGAGGUGACCUGUCAAAUAAGGCUGGUUGGUAAGGCUAUACCGAUGAGAAAAGUCACCGUCAGUACCAUCAAUCACUGAAAAGAAUUUAAACAUUUCUUCUUAUCCUCCUGGAUUUCUCUUUUGCACUACAAACUGAUGACCAUGCAAUUCUGAUGUCUUGCUUGACAAGUGGCAGAAGUCUAACUUCAGAACAUGCAACUAACAUAAUGUAAGUUGUUUUAGAGAAGAAUGCAUCCUGUUAGAAAAGAUGGAAAAUUACAUCUCUACUGCUAGGUUUAUUCCUUUAUGGACUCUUAGAAAGAAGUAAUUCUUCCUCUAAUGUUUUUUAUAAUCUGUUUUCAAUUACUACAUGAUUGAUCCAUCCAGCUGGCAAUAUCACGAAAAGACGUCAGCUGGCAUCAUUGUUCCAUCAGAGAUUAGACAAAAAAAAAGAUCAGCUGAACUCAGUAGGAAGACAGGUCAGUACUGAUGGGAAGAGUUCAGCUGCACAGUAUGUUCUCCUUUAUUGACAUGUAAAAGACUCAAUUCAGACUGUAAUCCCCAUAAUUUACAGAAAGAUGACCAUAUGGCAUCCAGACAUCUAGUCAUCUGCUCUUAGUCAUUUCUCAGCCAAGCCAUAGUGAUACAGGGUACUUGAGCAGGAAGUUUGAAACUCAGUCUAUACAAAAUGCUGCAGCAUGCCUUAGCAACACAGACCGUUGCAAGGAAUCAACAAAAUCUUCCUUUGCACACUGCCAGAACUUCACGCCAAGCUCAAGGUCUUGGUCCAUUUGACCAGUGUGUUUCAAGAACUUUGCCCAAAUAUCUAACUGAUCUUCUAAAUCUCAUGGCAGAUAAAUGUCCUCCAGCACAAGAGAGCUCAAUGGAAUAAAGGUCAUCUUUUCAGAGC